CUUAAGAACUAGAAAACAGCAAUUGGAGCUCGAAAUUGAGCUUCAGGCGCCAAACUGAAGGUGUACGAAGAAUUUGAAGAUGCUCAUGAAUCUAAAUAUGAUUUAUCAGAACUACCUUUAGGACCCAGAUUUGAACCCCUGAUGUGUAAACAAGAAAAACACAAUGUAGACGAUUAUGUGUUUCGUGGAGAUGGUAAGACAUCCCUUACAUUCAAUCCAAGGCCAGCCACUCAAGUUCAGGCUUCAGAUAGAAGAAAGUCAUCAUCAAGGUUUGAUGCUGUCAGCAGCACACCACAACAUAAUCAUCAUGACCACACUGAUUUUUCUACAGAUAGUCUACACAAAGUGUUACAGCGUCAAAACGAAGUCACGGAGAUGCUCAUUAAACAACAGAGUUUGUCUCAACUCACUCAAAGAGACAUAUCCACGUUUACAGGAGAUCCUCUGACUUACAGAUCUUUUAUAAGGGCAUUCGAGCAUGCUAUUGACAGUCAUCAGGACCGGCUGUACUACCUCGAACAGUUCACCAGUGGAGAGCCACUUGAUCUCAUACGGAGCUGUGAGCACAUGAAACCCGACAGAGCUUAUAAAGAAGCUAGAGAACUGCUGGAUCGUCACUAUGGAGAUGAAAUGACCAUCGCUACAGCUUACAUCAAGAAGGCUAUGGAAUGGCCUCAGAUAAGGCCAGAAGACAGAAAGGGAUUGAAUGCUUUUGCUUUGUUCUUGGUUGGAUGUUGUAACACAGUGAAUGAAGUGGACUACAUGGACGAAAUGAACAAUCCUACCAACAUGAAGUCCAUUCUAUCCAAACUUCCAUUCAAACUGAAAGAUGGAGAAGUUAUGCUUAUGACAUUCAAGUAAGAACAAGAAAAAGAGCCAGAUUUCCUGAUUUAGUGGAAUAUGUGUACCCACAAGCAAAGGUUGCCAAUGACCCGCUGUUUGGAGAUAUCCUGGACUCCACUUCAAGUAACCACCACAGCUGAAAAAGUCAACCGGGCGUUAGAAAAAGUGGUGGGACUCAUCCUCUUCUCGUUCCCUACGACACGCCGACGGCCAAAGAGAAAGCGCGAGACCGAGAGAAGGUGCAUGAGCUGCUCAGGUUCCUCCAGCUGAACGGAUAUGCAGUGACCAGAGGCCUGAAGGACAUGGAGAGCGACAUUUCCUCCAUUGAGAAGCGCUUUGCUCAUGGCUUCUUGCAGAAACUGCUGAAGUGGAUGGACAUUGUGCAGGAGUUCAUCACUCAUCUUGAGGUGUUUAUCCUCCAAUCCUACAACGUGUCUCUGCUGUAAACAGAGGUGGUGGUCAGCAGUGGUCGUGUGGAGAAAUCACCUCAUGAGCAGGAGAUCAGUUUUUUUGCUAAGAUCCUCCUGCUGCUGAUCAAUCAGUAUUUCCUCCUCU